AAGCCGGCUUUGGCCGCCCGGCAGCAACCGCAGCGGCGAGCCUGGGCGGCCGCUGUGGCAACGCAGUGCCCACACCGGGCGCCGACCCAGCAGCACCGAGCGGGGAGAGAAAGGUGUGAACCCGGAAGUACAUCGACUGCCCGCGUCUUAGCGGCAGCACCGGGGCAAUAAAUCAGGGCCGGCGAAGGAAAGACGCGGCGCGCCGGCUUCCGAACCGCAACUUGCUGCGAGACCUGUCACUUCCCCGCGGUGCCCAGUCCUCGCCCCUCCCUGGCGCUCGCGCCUCCUCUUUUCUUCCUGCUCCUCAGCACGGAGCUCCCCUCGACGUUGCUCACGUGCCAGACUCGGGACCGCGAGCGGCGUCCGCACCCGCACGCACACCCGGCCACGCUCGCACUCGCGCGGCCGCGGGGCCGGCUGCUUACCUCCGGGGCCUCAUGGUCGCGUCGCUAGCCUGGAUGCCCUGGACAUCAUUCCGAACAGCACAAUUCAAGGCUCUUGGGUAACCCCCUCCCACACCAACUCUGAGUUUGUUUAUGGCUUGUUUUGGACAAUAAGACAUUAGCAAAUGAGAUAUAAGUACAGGCUUGAGAAGUACAUGGGCACUGGGGCUUGCUUGCUGGCUGCUCUGUGGAACCUGAGACUACCACGUGAAGAAGAAGUUCGAAGUGCUAGAGGUUGAGAGAACAUGUGCAGCAAAGAUGAAGCAUCCCAGCUGAGAUUCCCCUAGAUCAAUCAGCUUGCCAACUGCCGCAAAAGCGAAUAAAGCCUUCCAAGAGCAUCCAGCUAUAAGGUGAGCCAGUCCAGACCGGAAGAAUCACCUGAUCAACUGAAAGAUAUAUGUGAAAUAAUAAAUGUUAGAGGUUUUAAAUUUUAAGAGGUACAGAGGCAUAUGGUUGAUGGUUCUGUUGUAUAAUCAUUAUUUAGUCUGGAAAGAAUCACUUGGAGUCGUCUGCUUUUAACUUUUGUCAUAAACACAACAUAUGAGAUAACAUAUUUCAAAACAUUAAAAAAUUUUUGUUUUGUUUUGUUUGGGUUUUGAAAUGGAGUCUCGCUCUGUCACCCAGGCUGGAGUGCAAUGGCGGGAUCUCAGCUCACUGCAACCUCCACCUGCCAGGUUCAAGCGAUUCUCCUUCCUCAGCCUUCUGAGUAGCUGGGAUUAUAGGUGUCCACCACCAUGCCUGGC
rnacentral:lncRNA from 10 species